GGGACACAAGACACAAGACAAAUUUUCAAGAUGUUUUGGCUUUGAUGACUUUUCAUAGCAUACCAUUUACUAGCUGAUAACCUGUCUUGGUGUGCUAACACCUACUCUGGUGGACUUUCCUUGAGUACAUCAGUCUGGAGAGUGAUGUCAGAGCGAGGAGUGGUCUGAUUGUCUGACUCUUGCACAGCCAUACUGGUUAGACUUGACGUCUUUCACUUGUAAGAAGGCCUGCAUUUAAGGUCAGCUUUAAUGGCAGCUGUAAUGGCAUGAGGAUGGGAUGAGUUUCUCAGCAGAGACCUUUGGCUUUCAAUGGAUCCUUCUCAGAGAGACUGUUGGCUUGCAGGGGAAGAUGGCAGUCCCCUGUCAGAUGAGCAACAGCUCACUUUAAUUGCAGAUCUGGACAUUGCCGAUUUAGUGGAUUUGGACUUGUACAGUUCAAUCCCAUUUCAGCCCCAGCCCCAACUCCAGCCCCAACUCCAGCCCCAGCGCCGACUCCAGCCCCAACUCGAGCCCCAACUCCAGGCCC